rnacentral:piRNA from 1 species
UCAAUCUUCAUUUCCAGACCC